GGUAAUGCCGGAUGCUCCAGUUGAUCGCAUGGUCUUCUGGGAAAGCUUUCGCGGUAUGGGAUGGGGUCGCGUCCUAUCAGCUUGACGGCGGGGUAACGGCCCACCGUGGCUUCGACGGGUAGCCGGCCUGAGAGGGCGACCGGCCACAUUGGGACUGAGAUACGGCCCAGACUCCUACGGGAGGCAGCAGUGGGGAAUAUUGCACAAUGGGCGCAAGCCUGAUGCAGCGACGCCGCGUGAGGGAUGGAGGCCUUCGGGUUGUAAACCUCUUUUAUCGGGGAGCAAGCGAGAGUGAGUUUACCCGUUGAAUAAGCACCGGCUAACUACGUGCCAGCAGCCGCGGUAAUACGUAGGGUGCAAGCGUUAUCCGGAAUUAUUGGGCGUAAAGGGCUCGUAGGCGGUUCGUCGCGUCCGGUGUGAAAGUCCAUCGCUUAACGGUGGAUCCGCGCCGGGUACGGGCGGGCUUGAGUGCGGUAGGGGAGACUGGAAUUCCCGGUGUAACGGUGGAAUGUGUAGAUAUCGAAAAGAAA
rnacentral:rRNA from 1 species